rnacentral:rRNA from 1 species
UAGGGUAAUUAUUGCGUCGGGGCUCACCUCUUUCCAUUUCGAACAGAGAAGUUAAGUCCGAUUGCGCAGAUGGUACUGCAUUUAAUGUGGGAGAGUAUGACGUUGCCUUUU